UGGGGAGUACNCCGGCAACGGUGAAACUCAAAGGAAUUGACGGGGGCCCGCACAAGCGGAGGAACAUGUGGUUUAAUUCGAUGAUACGCGAGGAACCUUACCCGGGCUUGAACGUAGGGAGACAGUUCUGGAAACAGAAUCUCUAGCAAUAGCNGCCUACGAGGUGCUGCAUGGUUGUCGUCAGCUCGUGCCGUGAGGUGUCGGCUUAAGUGCCAUAACGAGCGCAACCCACAUCGAUAGUUACUAACAGGUCAAGCUGAGGACUCUAUCGAGACUGCCAGCGUAAGCUGUGAGGAAGGUGUGGAUGACGUCAAAUCAGCACGGCCCUUACGUCCGGGGCGACACACGUGUUACAAUGGGAGGUACAAAGGGCAGCUACCUGGCGACAGGAUGCUAAUCUCUAAAACCUUUCUCAGUUCGGAUUGGAGUCUGCAACUCGACUCCAUGAAGCUGGAUUCGCUAGUAAUCGCGCAUCAGCCAUGGCGCGGUGAAUACGUUCCCGGGCCUUGUACACACCGCCCGUCAAGCCAUGGAAGCUGGGGGUACCUGAAGUAUGCAACCGCAAGGAGCGUCCUAGGGUAAAACCGGUAACUGGGGCUAAGUCGUAACAGGUAGCCGU
rnacentral:rRNA from 1 species